AUACGUAGGUGGCAAGCGUUGUCCGGAAUUAUUGGGCGUAAAGCGCGCGCAGGUGGUUCCUUAAGUCUGAUGUGAAAGCCCCCGGCUCAACCGGGGAGGGUCAUUGGAAACUGGGGAACUUGAGUGCCGAAGAGGAUAGUGGAAUUCCAAGUGUAGCGGUGAAGUGCGUAGAGAUUUGGAGGAACACCAGUGGCGAAGGCGACUGUCUGGUCUGUAACUGACACGGAGGCGCGAAAGAGUGGGGAGCAAACAGGAUUAGAUACCCUGGUAGUCCACGCCGUAAACGAUGAGUGCUAAGUGUUGGGAGGUUUCCGCCCCUCAGUGCUGCAGCUAACGCAUUAAGCACUCCGCCUGGGGAGUACGGUCGCAAGACUGAAACUCAAAGGAAUUGACGGGG
rnacentral:rRNA from 1 species